UUCAAACAAAGGCCAGCCAGGCAGAGUGGGCAGUUAGCUUCUUGCAGCCAAGGGAGUGGCACCAUCCAGCUCUCUUGUGGCUUGGAACAUCCUGGAGAUAAUGGCAGCUGAUGGGACAGACAGAAUUGUGAUGUACAUAGUUAAAGUCUAGUAUAAUGCAGAAGUACCUACAGUGAACAGGAAACAACGUCCAGCGAUUGACCUGGAAGACAUGGCGGUAUCUCAGGCUUAUUGUGUUGCCUUUUGUUUUCCCACAAAAACCAUCCUUUCUUAAUCAAAGAAGGACAUUUUGUGGCCUUGGUACCAUCUCUUGUUUGGGCCACUUGAUAACAGAUUGUGGAAGCCAGAUCCAGUUGCUGGUGUUACAAGUGUAUCCCUCUGGCAUCUGCUAAACUAUGAACGCUACAGGCAAAGUGAUCAGAUCUUCACACAUAAAGAAUAGCUGGUAAAAAAUGCUGAUAAGAUGAAACGGCUGGGUCCUCAGCAGACAGAAAUCGGAGCAGCUCAUUGACUUCAACGGAUCUCUGUUUCACGCCGGCUGAGGAUCUGGCUCAAAGAAAGAAAUUGAAUUUAUUGCAUAAAUAAAGCAUACGGUAGAUUUCACAGUAUGAAAUCAAGAUGAGCCAGUGAGCUUUCCUCCUUCUAAUUAGAGACUGUCACUGCUACAGUUAAACAUAGAAAAAUGGAUCACUGCCUUGCAGCUAAUUUGAAUACACAGAAGCAAAAGCAGGAAUGGGAGGAAGAUGUAGGUCAAGUGCUCCAGGAAGACGCCAAGCUGAACAUUCAAACAGCCACAAGAUGUAUUUUUGCUAGUGUCAGAAAAAACUUAAUGCAUUUGAACUAUUUUCAUGGAAUUUAUUUUACUCCUGUCAGAGAAAUUCUUAAAAUAAAACCAAGUAUGAAUGUGUAACACAGAAAGAGCCAAUAUAAAAUACUGCUGAGCUGCCCCACAACGUCUGAUCUAAUGGAAUAACGUUGCCAAUACAUACAAUAUUGUGGCUGCUGGAAAGAAAGGGACAAUUUAUGUAAUAUGGCCUACUACCUUUAAUCUAUGGAGAAACUCCUAUUGAUAUGAACAGAUCUCUGAAAAGUUCUCUACUGAGCUCUAUAAUCUAUAUAGCGGGAAAAUUUUAGAGACAUAUAUCAACUUGAGCUUCAGGAUUAAUUACAUUUUUAGAUCCAGUUCUUGUUGCAAUUUGUUUGAUCUUCUUCCAGUGCUCAGCUGCCAUCAAAAAGGAAAACAUAAUUUUGGGGAUUAUUAAGAAGGGAAUUAUAAACAAAAUGAAAAGUAUCAUCGUGCCCCUUUGUAUCAUCAUACCCCUCUAUGGUGUGUCCACACCUUGAAUGCUGUGUCCGGAUCUAGUUUGCACAGCUCUGAAAGGAUAUAUAAGAAUUAGAGAAGGUAUAGUGAAGGGCAACAAGGAUGGUUAGUAAUAUAAGAGGAGAGACUAAAGAGGCAAGGCCUAUUCCGUUUAAAAAAGAGGCGGGGCAUGAUAAGGGUUUACAAAAUACUAAAAAGUGAGGAGAAAGUAAGUUGGGAUUUAUUACUUACUAGAUGUGCCUAUUUGAGACCCUUAAUGCGCAGUAGCCUAAUAACACUGCACAGUAGAGUGCUAGGCAAAAACUGUGCCAAUACACAACUGUGCAGUAGUAUUAGGUUACUGCGCAGUAAGCACCACUAAAAAAACCUUGCACUGGCACUACUGCACAAUAACUGUAGUUACUGCACAUUUAGUUAGUACUUCAUUAAGCAAGUACUAAACUAAAUGUGCAGUAAGUACUGUGCAUUAAUGAACAUGUAGACAUGCCUGCUGUCUCUCACAAUACAAGAACUAGGGGGUCACAAAAUGAAAUGAAUAGGUAGUAAGUUUAAAACUAAGAAAAGGAAGUUCUUCUUUACAUAGUUUAUAAUUCAAGUGUGUAACUUGUUGCCACCAGAUGUUGUGGAGCAGACAGUUUAGCCAGAUUCAAAAACGGAUUGGACAAAUUCUUGGAGGAAAGGUGCACCAGUAGCUAUUGAGCAUGGGAGUGAAGGGGUAUAGCCUUCCUAGACCUUAAAUGCUGGAGGCAGAAAGUGGGAAAGGAGCAGUGGAAAAAACCCCUGGUCCUACCCUGUUCACUCUCUCUUUAGCAUCCACUCUCUGCCGCUGUGUGACACAGGAGACUGGGCAAGAUGGACCUAUGGUCUAAGUAAAAGGCAAUUCUUUUGUUCUUAUAUUUAGGAUCUUGUCUUUCUCUUUCACUUUGCCAUUCCCAUGGAUUGGUCACUGGCAUUGGUCAUGGGUCCAGUGCUCUGAAACUAUUUCUAUUGUAUCCAACUUCCUUGUUUCCUUAGCUGGACCCAAUUGCCCAGCAGCAGCUGUGGUGGCGCGGAGUUGUGCCCCCCUGCUGGCAUCACUUGCGUGUUGCCCAUGAGUCUAGAAGUUAGCAGAGAACGAAAUGCGUGGGAACAGCGUGGCUUUAGGCUCAAGCUAACUGGGCAGAUGUCUGGUGUACCAUAUCUAAGGAACACUAGAAAUGGGGCUUGCUGCUUCACAGGUCCAGUCAGUGAAAGAUUUUCUGUUGUCCUGAGUGGAAACAGGAGCAAGGCCAUGCUCUGCUUUAGUCAAAGGUACUGCACUUGAUGCAGGAAUUACUAGAAGGUGUGUGAUAGAAGAGGACAGACUGGAAGAUCUCAGUGGUCCCAUCUAGCCUAAAAUCUCUGACUGUGAGUCCUGACCACUAUGAUCAUGUAGCACACAGGCAGUUUUUUGGUAGGGAAACAUGGCUGUAGUGGUUUUUCAAGUAUUUGGUGUGGGCUUGUGCCUGUGUUCUGUAUGAUUAAAGUUACAAACAAAAUAAAUAUGCAGUAUCUCACCAUUUCCAGGCUCUCCUACUAGAAGACUGGAACAUCUAAUUUCAGAUUUUGUGGCCUCUAAUGUGGAUAGCUCUAUGAUCUAAAAAGUAACAGAACCAACAAGAGUAAAUCCUUUGCGAAAUCCUGGCGCUACUGAGCUCAUGGGAUUUUUACUAUUGACUUCAGUGAAGGCAGGAUUUCUCCAUCAUUUUUCAACAUGCCUUUUUAUGUGAAAGCUUGCAGUUGCACAGGAGGUGAGUCAGCAUAGAAUAUAGCUCUUAUUGAUGAGGGUUAGCUUGUCUCUCUAUUUAGCUGUCUCCAAGGAGGCGAUCAUAUCCUAAAGUGAGGGCUGCAAAUACCCUCUCUGUUGUGCUAACCUACUGCAGCUUUGAUAGCAAAUUUAAACAGCCAGUGCCUUCUAUUCAUCUGUCAAGCAGAAAUGGACCUCAGCCAAGAGCCUGAAUGCAAGUAGUAUCUCUUCAUAUAAGGCCCAAGGGCUAGAAAGAAUAAUACAUAUACUUAACUGGACUACUACUAGUACUGCUAAUUUGCAUUGCAGUAGUGCUGAGAGAUCUCUAUCACAGGUGUGACUUUAUUGUGGCAGAAAGAAUAUAGAGAAAGUAAGAAACGGUCCAAUCUUGUUUGAAAGAGUCUAGUCUAUGUACAAAAAGUAGAUGAAGGGUGGGAGAAAGCAAGUUCUUUCUUUUAGUAUGGCAGCAUCUUGAUGUAGUAACAUUUGCCACCCCAUUGACUUCAGUGGUAUUAAAAUUAAGGAUGUACAUUAAGGAUGUUCCAGCGACACUAGGAGGGAGAUUUGAAUUUCUGCCCAAAAUCUGCAGUUUACUCAUUCCUUUCUAAUAGACCAAACAGAAGGCCAGAAGCCAAUCAUGCAGUCAUCCUCUGAAUGAUGGGGAAGAUCCAGACUUCACAGCAUGAAAAGCUGCAUCACAACCAUUGUGAAUGGGGCACAUCCAGACAAAUAUUGUAGCUAUGUAUUUGAUUUUUCUAUUAAACAUAGCCAUAUUUUUGUCAAAGGAUGGGAGUGUUAACUCAGCUGGGUUUUGGGGUUUUUGGUUGUAGCCAUCUUGGUCUAAGGACAUAAGGAAGCAAGGUUCUUUGGUUAGAUGUGAGAUCUUUUAUUAGACCAA